CUAGCGGAACGCCGAAGGAGUGCCGUGUGUGUGUGUUUUUUCUUGGAAAAAUAUUUCGCCCAACUUGAACGUAAAAACUGGAGCUCAAGAUGCCUGUUGUGGACGGGAACGUGGACAGCGAGGGAGAGGACAUGGAUCAGAGUACCCCAGACAGCGACAAGAGUAACUCUGAAGAGUCUGCGACGUCGUCGGCGUCCGAAGAAGACGACGAGAGUUCAGCCGGGCUUUUCUUCUGCUUUGCAGAGCUGGACGAGGAGGACUGUGACCGGAGGCGGACGGAGUGCAUGGCAGACAUGGCCGACCUGGAGAGGCAGUUCACCGACCUCAAGGAGCAGUUGUACAGAGAACGGAUGAGCCAGAUUGAGGCAAAGUUAGAAGAGGCGAAGAUGGGCUGUGCACCAGAGUACGUGGAGCCGCUCACACAGCUCCGGAUCAACAUGCAGACUCGCACGGAAGUCGCAGGUAUUGUAAGAGAACUGAAGAUACAGAACAUCAGAAACCAGUAUGAAGCAGAGCUACAGGCAACAAGACAACACUUUGAGAGCGAAAAGUUGCUUUUGGUGGAUGAGAUGAGAAAUGAGAUUGAGGAAAAGAUCCGGAGACUGGAAGAGGACAGGCACAGCGCAGAUCUAUCUACAGACCUGUGGGCGGAGUCAGAACAAGUCAAGCGCAGCCGGAGAAAAACAGACCCGCUGCAUCCAAAGAAGAAAAAGACAGUCACCAUUUCUGGUCCAUUCUUGGUCUAUCAGCUGAAGGAAAAUGAUAUCCUGGAAGACUGGACAGCUAUCAGAAAGAACUCUCGUCAGCCGACCGCCAUACCCCAGAAAAAGAUGACGGUAGCGAGAAGAAGAUUGCCUGCCGGCGGCCACUCCCACCGACGAGAGAACGGUAUGGGGGAUCGUAUGGACUACUAACAUGCCCUCCCUCCGUAGGAAAGCAGUGGGGAAGGGAAGACAACCCGGCAAGCGGAAGACAACCCAUUGACGUCACCGACAUCAUUUCUGUCAUCAAUUCCUGUUGGAGCAGCAUGUCAGCAGAACGUACUGCACCUGUGCAAAACCAGUAAUGUAUUGUACAUAGCAUUUCAGCAGAACGUCUCAUAUAAGGUCGUAUUCGCGUAUAUAAGGUUUAACCCCGUCUGUAGUUUCCAAAUGUUGGAAAGUUAUCGUCUGCAACAGGCAAAAUUCUGAAUCAACGUUGACCAGUAUGUUCUGCCGACAUGCUUGUUAGAGCAAGAUAUUUCUGCAGGCUAGUCCAUUUUUUAAUGUUUAGGAGGGAUGGAAUAUUUGUAUCAUGCGUGUAACAACAAGAUUUGGGAGAGCAUUACGGCAAAACAUUGACAAGAGAAACUGAGAUGGUAUAUUGAUGUAAAGGUAUUGUGUACUUGCCAGUUAACUAGGAAAAAA